GCCGACGUCAAGGUCAUGAACAUAAACUGGUUCCAGAAACAUCAAACUGGAGAUGAUGAGGCCAGGUUGACGUUGAACAUAACCGCGGAUCUACAAUCUCUGUUCACCUGGAAUACAAAACAGGUCUUUGUCUUCCUAGCCGCUGAGUACGAGACCUCUGCGAAUGCACUGAACCAGGUUUCUCUGUGGGAUGGUAUCAUACCAUCGAAAGAGCAUGCAAAGUUUUCGGUUCAUACAACGAACAAGUACCGG
rnacentral:misc_RNA from 1 species